rnacentral:rRNA from 1 species
AGGAUUCAGUCUGCAGUUGCCGUCGAGCUGGUCGGGGGCUUCCCCGGGGCCGUCCGACCGCGAAGGGCAGACGCAUUUGACUCCCGCUCGAAGGACGCCGCAACCCGUGGGGGAGUGCAAACGUGACGGCCUGAAGGUCGGGCAGAGGCAGGUGGCCGGUGUUCGUUGUCCUAGCGAUCGCCGGUUGUUAGCCGGCCCGUCAGUGGCUCGUCCCCCCACGGAGGUAACGCGAUGCCCUCCGGGGCGUCCGCGCCUCCUCCUCGUCGGGACUUGCCGUCGCGAGCGAAGGCAGCCGCGCGGCCGCACUCGUGAGAGAGUGGGCCAGCGGCCGGCGGCGACGGAGGACCCGUCGGAGGCUGGAGGUUGGCGGCGAGUAGGUCGGUCACCCACCCGACCCGUCUUGAAACACGGACCAAGGAGUCUAACAUGUGCGCGAGUCAAUGGGUCUCGAUUAAGCCCAGAGGCGCAAUGAAAGCGAAGGUCGGUAUGAGCGCCGACCGAGUCGGGAUGGGCGCACCGACAACCCGUCUUAUGCCGUUUACGGCUUCGGCGGAGUGUGAGCGUACACGUUGGGACCCGAAAGAUGGUGAACUAUGCCC